AUGGAGCAGGAACUGCCGGUGGACAUUUUUCGCCGAGUCGUCGGUUUUUCGACAAAUUCCCGUUCUAUAUUGGACUUGUGGAGCCUAAACGACACGGCAAGGUGUGCUAUUGAACAGGAAAUUCGGAAAUUAUCGAAAAAUGCUCCAAUUCGACUCGAUAUUCAUCGAUUUUUCCUGGAAUCCAACCCGUUUCAUCGUGAAUUUUUCGGUUUUGCCGAGAAAAUUCACAAAAAACAGCUUCACGACAAAAUUCGAGAACUCGCAAGAUUAUUGGAAAAGCUGUUGGAGAUUGGAGCCAAAUUUCAGAUUGAUAAUCUAACCGCCGCUUCCCUCGGAUUUCAAGCCGAACACGAUGAGCAACACCUUCCACGGGCUCCAUUCAUGCUUCAGAAGAAGAUGAUGCAUAUUUUGAGUAGAUUCCAUGGCAAUUCCAUCUCAAUUUCGCCUGUUUUCAUGCGCCCAUCCCGAAUGAUCAGGACAUUUCGAAAUCGAUUCGAUGAGAUCACAACGUUGGAUUUAGGAACUAUGAAAUCCCUGGCAAGUUGCCAACUCAGAUCCGUCGUCUUCCCGGCUCUUCAGAAUUUGGAAAAUCUUACAUGGAACCACGCAAAUCACCGAAUUUUACACAAAAUUCCGAAUAAAAAUCGAAUUAAAUCGCUUCAUCUCACUUGUCACCUCGUCGGACGGCCCAGAUUUCCAGAAUUUGAAGUUUUAAAGGAAUUUUCGAAUUUGGAAAAGUUUUAUCUCGGAUUUACAGUCCCGAUUAAUCCGUAAGCAGAAGCCGUAUGGAAAUGGAAGUCCUUCUGAACCUCUAUCAAUCAAUUUGGAGUCGAAAAAUGGGAAAUUUGUUGGAAAAUUUCCCGAAAAUCCGGGAAAUUGGAUUCUGGAAUUCACCGGAAAAGAUAUUCCAACAACUUUCAAAAUAUGAAAUUUCACUGGAAACUUUGAAUUUUGGAUCUCUAAAUCAAUCACUUUCAAUGUUAUGCUCAUUCGACUCGAUUUUACAGUCAUUUUUCAAAUUUGAAGAGCUCGAAAAUGCUCUGGAACCGCCGAAAAUCAAACAUCUCAAUAUGAAUCUUCACACAAUGCCGGCCGUCGGUUUGGAUUAUUAUUUGCCGAAUUUAAUGAAUCGUGUCAAUCAAUUCCCAGAUCUCCAAACAGUUUCUCUUCUGUUUAAAUGCAUUUUUCAUGCUCAAAUGACGUCAUCAUGGAGCAUGGAAUCGAAAAAAGAAAAAUCGUCGAAAAGACGUCCGAUUUUUGAAUCAACUUACACGAAAUUCCAACUUCAUAGCGAAGGAUUGUGUGGGCUCACUGACCUGGAUCGUCAACUGCCUCCAACACUUGAAUCCUGUUCAAUUUCUCUAAAUCUACCUGCCGACGGUGGCAGAAAAGUGAUCCCGUCCGUGCUGAAAUUCAUCGAAAAGCUGGGCUCAAUGAAUGAUUUUCCGGAGCUCGUCGAGUUUCAUAUUCAGAUUUUAGGUGUCAAAUGCUUUGAGACCCUCAUCCACGCCAUCGGAGAUCAUCUUGGCCCACAUCUUCACAAAGUGAGCAUCUACGCUCCACUGAACUGCACUGAAAAAUCAUUGGCCAAACGUCUAAUGUCUCGAAUCCCAGAGCUUUUCCCAAAAGCUACAGAAAUCUCGAUUUCCAUAGAUUUUUUGCGGAUUUUGCUCAAAGAGUCGGCACAAUCGUCAGCUCAAUGGCCUGAGAAGCUCACAAAAUUGGCUAGAAAACACGAAUUUAACGUGGAAAAUUGUAAAUUGACGACUGGAAGACUGCCACGUUGUGGAUCGCAAUUUGUGUGCAAAGGAGAUGAGCCCAGAGAUUUGACGGAGCUCGAGGAAGAACUGGGAAUUUCCAUUUUGGAAGAGACGCUGGAUGGAAUGAAUGUGGAAUUGCUAGAUGACGAUGACUGGAUUGUGGACGAUGAUAAUGACGAAGAUGGAGAAUGUAUUGAUGAGGAAGAAGACUAUGAUAAUACAGAAAUUGUAUAUGAAUCAGAAGAAGAUGAACUUGAUGGUCUCGAAGCGAAAUUGGAACGAGAAAGCGAUCGAAGACAUAAGAAAUGGGAGAAAAAGAAUAAAGUGAUGAUUGAUAGUGAUGAUGAGGAAGAAGAAGAAGAAAAUGAUGAUGAUAAAGAGAAUCAGGAUGAUGAUACUCAUGAUAUCGUGGAUUGGGAUAAGUUGGAUGAAUCUGAUGAGGAUGAGGAUGAGCUGAAAGAUCGGAAGCAUGGACUUUUUGAUGAUGAAGCUUCUGAAAGUGAUGGUGAAGAUGAAUUUGAAGAUGAGGAUGAGGAAGAGCCUGAAGGAGAGGAUUUGGAGGAUUCUGAUGAUGAGAGACUUUUUGAGCAUGGUCCCUCCAAAAAACGCCGAUUUGAGCAGCAGAAGCAAAAUGCGAAACGACGUUGCAUCGUGAUUUCUGAUGAUGAUGAUGAUGAUGAAGAAUAG
rnacentral:misc_RNA from 1 species